rnacentral:lncRNA from 1 species
UCCAUGUUAUGGCUAUGAACUUCAAACAUACUUUCAGGGGAGAUACUUCACAAUUUAAAAUCAAAAGCACCUGAUAGUAUUCAUUAAUAAGAAUGAGCCAAAUAGUGACUAUUUAGGAAACAUUUUCCUCUAAGAUAAACAGCAAUACCUGAAGGAAAGAAUGGAGAUAAGGAAAGAAACUGUGUCAUUAGUGUGUGUGCUGCUCUGCAAGGCAAAAAGUGAUGCCUCUGUGCCUGUUAAACGAGCUGAUGCUGACCUGCCUUCCUGACUUCAGUGUUCCAAAGAUGGGAUAUUUUAGCUGCCUGAGCUCUGAAUUAGUGAAUUUGGCCUGGUUGCCUGAGCAGCUCUCAGGCUGGACUUUGUGUGCAGGUCCAUGUGUUACACAGCAGUGCACCCACAACCCCAACACCUGAAUCUCACAACACAGUCAUAUUAAGAAUGAUAAUCAACUGGAGUAUCUAUUGACAAUUUUUCCAUCAGGGAUAACAUCAGAAAAACUGAUCAAUUUUUGCAAGAAAUACAGUGUAAUUUUAAUGUCAAAAAGCCCAUUCAGAUAGGAAAGUAAAGAAACUGUUAAUAUCAAGAAGUAGUUUCCAUAGACUAAGACCUUCCAGCAGGAGUGAAUUGCCUUCAUAGUGUAUUUUAGUACUUUUAGGGCUUUUUCUCUCCCUCAGAUCUCAGCAAAGAGCUACAGCUGAUGAGGGUGGACUCAUUCUGUAGGUAGUGUCCACAUGGUUCGAAAUUAUGGUAGAACAGAUUAGUAGCUAUGACAAAUAGGAAGGAAAAGAGUUAAAAAAAAAAAACAACAAGCAUCUAAAUAGUGACAAUCAGACAGUUUUGUUAGUAUUGUCAUGGGUUUUGCCAUGAUAACCUCUGCAGUGAUGUCUACAAGAGCAACAGAAUGCUCCAUGUGUUGUAAGAUGGUCUCUUAUUCACAGUAUCUUGGUUCAAGCUAGGAAGUUUGAAAUCCUUGGAUUUUUUGGGUAGCUAUGACAAAUAGGAAGGAAAAGAGUUAAAAAAAAAAAACAACAAGCAUCUAAAUAGUGACA